rnacentral:RNase_P_RNA from 2 species
CGUGCAAGUCGGCCUGUCGCCGUCUUUUUUGAAAGAGGGAGGAAAGUCCGGGCAACAAAGAGCGCCAUGCUUCCUAACGGGAAGGGGCUUGGGGCGAGAGGCCCAAGUCACAGCCAGUGCCACAGAAAAGAUACCGCCAGAGAAGGAAACUCCUCCGGUAAGGGUGAAAAGGUGGAGUAAGUGCCCACCGCUGUGCAGGUGACUGCGCAGGCAAGGUAAACCUCAUGGGUUGAAAGGUCAAAUAGACUUCGGGUGAAGGGCUGCUCGUCCGUUUUACUCCGGUAAAUAACCGAAGUGGGUAGACCGAUGGAGGCAUUUCGUGAGGAAUGUCCUAGAUAAAUGACAGGCACUUUUCCCUGAAAAGUACAGAACCCGGCUUAUAGACUUGCACACUUU